rnacentral:lncRNA from 1 species
UCUUGGAGAUAAAAUUCUCUAGUGUGUUACUAAAUGUUAAAAUGUUUUUUUUUAAAGAAUAUACAGUACCGUGACUGAAAUAUUAAUAUUUAAAAUACUUCAUUCCUUAAUUCUCCCUCAAUUGCUUUACCCAUAGCCUAUUCAAUUCCUUUGUUUGGCGAACUCUGCAAAAUGUGUUACCCACUACUGAGAUUGUUCAGCCCCUGAUGUGUUUGUACUGAUUUGUUUCUGGUGGUAGCUUGUCUUAUGCUGUGUGUAGGAAACAGGUAUUUUAUGACAGAAUGUUAUGUAGUGCAUGCUCUGUGGAAUUCAGAGGAAAAUCCAGGCUCAGUGAUUAACAAUGCCAAAAAAAGAAAAAAAAAAAACAAACAAAAAGCAAGUAACGAGCCAUUGUUCAAACGACAGCGGUGCUGUUUCUCCUCUGUGGCCUUUCAGACUUCUGUUGCCCCCAAAUUCCAUUUUAUUGGGAACCCAUUUUCCACCUGGUCUUUCUUGACAGGGUUUUUUUCUACUUUAAACAGUUUUUAAAUAAAAUUCUGUAUUUCAAGAGUGUCCUGUCUUCUGAAAUGUGUCUUGCCUUGGGUAUAAGCUUUUAAUUCUAGAGGUAAGAUAGCUAUGCAUCCAUCUUUGGCUGAGCUUAGACAGAGGCUGAGAAAUGAUUCCCACCGUCUUAAAUAGGACUAAUCUUUUAAAAUCCCUCACUUUUCUCAAGCUAACUAAUCUGGCUCUCCCCUUCCUCUAUCCUCCUUUCUCCUUCUCCCUUCCUUCCUCCCUCUUUUUCCUCUUCCUCCCUCCUUUUGGUUUUUAAGACAGAGCUUUUAGUAUUGUUGUCCUGAUUGGCCUCAUAUUUGUCACAGUCCUUCUUCCUCAUUCUCUUGAAAGAUUAUGUGUGUGUGCCAUCGUGCCUGGCUUAAAAUUGCUUAUUUUGAAUUCUUUUUAAAAAAAAAAAUCACAUUACAUUUUUCAGUCUUCUACUGCUUUAAAUUCCUGUUACCCUGAGAAGGUUUUCCUCACAGAAACAGAAAGCCUGACCUAGUUGCUUAAGGCUCUUAGGAAUGUAGUUGGCCGGUGUUUGGCAGAUGAUUUAAUUGGAGGUAAUUGUUUCAUUGUCCUGAAAAUGCAUUUACAAAGUCAGUUAGUACACUCUUAAACUGGAGAGUAAAGUUGUUGCUUCUUAAAACUGUUCUAUAAAGUCCUACACCUUUGAGAAUGAGUUGAAAAUAUGAUCCUCUCCUGUUGUUGUCUUGAAAUGUUAAAUAGGCAGAAAGGUAAUUCAUCUGCUCUUGAGAGUACCAUGUACAGUACCCUGGCUGCUGUGGAAGUGAUCUUGAGAGUACCACGUACAGUACUCUGGCUGCUGUGGAAGUGGGACUUAGUGAUUUUUGUGACGUUUAUAUUCACUGCUGCCCCUGGAGGUUGAUAAUGAUUCAAUCCAGAAUCAUUACCAGUUUGGGGAAUAAUUUGGCACCAUCUGCAUUCAUCAUCUUUAAGAAGAAACCCUGAAGGGAUGUAUGUUGUGUGCUGUUAGCUGAGAAGUUAUUAGGUAAGAGGUGAAGUGGAGACUGUAUCCAUUGACCUGGCUUAGCUGUAUAAAGCCUUAAUGUGACUAAUUCAGGUUAGGAGGAUGGUGCAGCCUGAACGUGCUGUUGGCAAGGUCUGUGGUAUGUAGAGGAACAGGCUACUGCAGAUAGGUUUGGAUUCAGGAUAGGUUCUUCAGGCCGAAUUGAUGUGAUUGCUUCCCAAUUUCUUGGGAGAUUGGUGUAGAAUGUUUAGAAGUUCAUCCCCAGAAGUUCUUUUUUUUUGUUUUUGUUUCUGUUUUUUGAGACAGGGUUUCUCUGUAUAGCCCUGGCUGUCCUGGAACUCACUCUGUAGACCAGGCUGGCCUCGAACUUAGAAAUCCACCUGCCUCUGCCUCCCAAGGGCUGGGAUUAAAGGCGUGCGCCACCACUGCCCGGCCCUGGAAGUUCUUGAGCUGGGAGAUUAUGAAUCUGCAUUUUAAGGCCCCUCAGGUGGCCUAGACCUGGGCCCUGCUUAGAUGAAGCUUUAAGUCUUAUCGUGUCAGUGAGACAUCAGAUGUGAGGGUUCUAAUCCACCUCUUACUUUGCUUUAUUUUGUUUUUUUCUUGUUUGCAAAUCAAGGGCUCUGAUGUUGGCUGAAGGGCCUCACACUCUGCAUGUUUUUUAGAAUCCGAGGAAACUAACAGGCCAAGUGCAGAAACUGUUGUCUGGAAACAGGAGACAUUAUUUCAUGGCCAGAAGUUGUUAUAGAUUAGAAAAAAACGUAGAACAUGUUUUUUAUGCCCUAAAAAUUCAGGGCACGACUUGGGUAUUUUGGAAGUGAAGUGCUGAGUUCUUCAUUGGCUCUCUCUCAGCUUGGUGGCUGGUGGCUGGUGGCAUCCAGCUCCUCUGUGUUCAGGCAGCUUUCAUCCUGCUGUUCCCAGGUGAAGGGCUAAACACAUUCUGGAUUUCGUGCAAAUGAGGAAUUGUUGACUCCCAGUUCACUGGCUUUAAAAAGACCAUCCGUGAUUCAAGAAUUGCCCUCUAGGAUGUGAAGUGAGGACAGAAGCGGUUUUCUUUUGCAGUAACCAUGGGUCUCCUCAGGGGAGCUUUCCUUUAAAGGCUACAGCAGGGUUAGUGUGAGGAGCUUUUUGGGUGAUUCCCCCUAAUUCAUGGUUUGCUUAGUUCACAAAUCAGUCUGUGGGCUUUAAGCCUGGCAAGCCUGGCCAGAUUAGCUUGCUAGUGUGUGUGUGACCCAAAUCUCACCGUUGUCAGCAGGGAGAGUGAAAGGAAGUGCUCUCAGCAAGCUAACCGAUAGCUUGUGAUCAUUGUUAUUUUUCUGUUCUGUUACUUUCUGUGAGUGAUGAUGUCAUACCUUUGAACUCUUCAUAGGUCAUAAAAUUUCAAAACUGAACAAGAUGAUAUUCAUGUAUCUUCAUUAUGUUCACUGCCUCUACAUAGUGUUUGAGUUGUGUUCUAACAAGGUAGGAAGGAUUUUCUCAAAGACCAGGAGGGUUCUGUGCUUUUACUGAACUGACUGACCCUUGACCUAGAUGGCUUUAGUGCUACCUAGUUGUAACUUGUGAAGGCCAAUGCUUUUCUCUCCUCUUUGAUUUAAUGUUCUUGUAGCUUAGGGGCUUUCUGGUCACAUUGUUGCCAGGUAGCUUCAUUAACUUGAUUGCCUAGGUGAGUGGGUCUAACCUUAGAGACAUUUCUAACCUCCUGAAUCCAGAGCCUUAAAUCUUCUUGUUGUUUUGAGGCAGAGUCUCAUCUAUUCCAGACUGGCCUUGAACCCACUAUGUAUAUUCUAGGGUGAUUUUGAAUGAAUGCUGGGAUUAUAGGCAUGUUAUACCAUGCCCAACAUCAAACCCAGGCCUUCAUAUCUGCUGAGCAAAUAUCAGCCAAGCCACAUAUUUAGUUAGCCCCAUGAGUGUUGUUUUAUUUUGAAAAAUUGUAACUGCUUUUGAGGAUGGUAAGCUAUGUGGUUUAUUUAUUUUAUUUUUAUACAGACAGGUAUAGAUGCCAAGUAUGUGUCACCUCACACCUCAGUAAUUUAUUUCAUUUUUGAGAGGGUUUCACUAUGUGGCUCUGGCUGACCUGGAACUUGUCAUGCAGAUUAGGCUGGCCUGGAGCUCACAAGUGCUGGGAUCACAGGUGUGCACCAUCAUUCCUGGCUUGCAUGUUAAAACAGCAUUGGUGUUGCUGAAUGUGAAUGAAGAAGUAUCUGUGAGGAUCUGGGUCUGCUGUGGCUCCUGCCGGCCUGAGGGCCCUUUUGGUGAUCAGCAUGCCCUUGGAUGAGAUCAUAUUUUCAAAGGUAUUCUCUAGGUUGUAAUGUCUGAAUCCUUUUCAAGUUGGCUUUGAACUUUUCCUGAAUCACUAUGCUGAGACUUAUCUAGAUUUUUCCUUCUAUAUGCUUUCCC